rnacentral:rRNA from 1 species
GUCAGAGCCAUAUCAACCUGCAGUUCUCGCCUUGUGUCCCACUGAUACUAAGCAGGUUGAGCAUGGCUAGUACCUGGAUGGGAGACCUCCUGGGGAAAACUAAGGCUGCUGCUG